rnacentral:tRNA from 1 species
GUUAAUGUAGCUUAACCCUUAAAGCAAGGCACUGAAAAUGCCUAGAUGAGUAUGUUUACUCCAUAAACA